CCUACGGGUGGCAGCAGUGGGGGAUAUUGCUCAAUGGGCGCAACCCUGAUCCAGCCACGCCGCGUGGGUGAAGAAGCGCCUCGGCGCGUAAAGCCCUGUCAGCAGGGAAGAAAAUGACGGUACCUGAAGAAGAAGCCCCGGCUAACUACGUGCCAGCAGCCGCGGUAAUACGUAGGGGGCAAGCGUUAUCCGGAUUUACUGGGUGUUAAGGGGGCGUAGACGGCUGUGCAAGCCUGAAGUGAAAGGCGGGGGCCCAACCCCUGGACUGCUUUGGGAACUGUACGGCUGGAGUGCAGGAGAGGUAAGUGGAAUUCCUAGUGUAGCGGUGAAAUGCGUAGAUAUUAGGAGGAACACCAGUGGCGAAGGCGGCUUACUGGACUGUAACUGACGUUGAGGCUCGAAAGCGUGGGGAGCAAACAGGAUUAGAUACCCCUGUAGUC
rnacentral:rRNA from 1 species